rnacentral:rRNA from 1 species
UACGAAGGGGGCUAGCGUUGUUCGGAUUUACUGGGCGUAAAGCGUGCGCAGGCGGCGGCUCAAGUCAGGUGUGAAAUCCCCGGGCUUAACCUGGGAAUUGCGCUUGAAACUAGGUCGCUAGAGUGUGGCAGAGGGGGGUGGAAUUCCACGUGUAGCAGUGAAAUGCGUAGAGAUGUGGAGGAACACCGAUGGCGAAGGCAGCCCCCUGGGUCAACACUGACGCUCAUGCACGAAAGCGUGGGGAGCAAACAGG